rnacentral:tRNA from 1 species
GAGCGCGGUGGCGCGGUGGCGGCGCGCGCGCCCGCUGCGCGCGAAGAGCCGGGCUUGGCGAUGGCGGCGCCGCCGCGCCCG